GUCUACGGCCAUACCACCCUGAACGCGCCCGAUCUUGUCUGAUCUCGGAAGCUAAGCAGGGUCGGGCCUGGUUAGUACUUGGAUGGGAAAAAAAUGUGUAUUUUGUGGUUUUUGGGU
rnacentral:rRNA from 1 species